UACAGAGGGUGCGAGCGUUAAUCGGAAUUACUGGGCGUAAAGCGUGCGUAGACGGUUAUUUAAGUCGGAUGUGAAAGCCCCGGGCUCAACCUGGGAAUUGCAUUCGAGACUGAAUAGCUAGGGUGCGGUAGAGGGAAGCGGAAUUUCCGGUGUAGCGGUGAAAUGCGUAGAUAUCUGAAGGAACAUCAGUGGCGAAAGCGACUUCCUGGACCAAUACUGACGCUCAUGUGCGAAAGCGUGGGGAGCAAACAGG
rnacentral:rRNA from 1 species